UACAGAGGAUGCAAGCGUUAUCCGGAAUGAUUGGGCGUAAAGCGUCCGCAGGUGGCAGUUCAAGUCUGCUGUCAAAGACCGGGGCUUAACUUCGGAAAGGCAGUGGAAACUGAACAGCUAGAGUAUGGUAGGGGCAGAGGGAAUUCCUGGUGUAGCGGUGAAAUGCGUAGAUAUCAGGAAGAACACCGGUGGCGAAAGCGCUCUGCUAGGCCGCAACUGACACUGAGGGACGAAAGCUAGGGGAGCGAAUGGG
rnacentral:rRNA from 1 species